CCUACGGGAGGCAGCAGUGGGGAAUCUUGCGCAAUGGGCGAAAGCCUGACGCAGCAACGCCGCGUGCGGGAAGAAGGCCUUCGGGUUGUAAACCGCUUUCAGCAGGAACGAAAAUGACGGUACCUGCAGAAGAAGGAGCGGCCAACUACGUGCCAGCAGCCGCGGUGACACGUAGGCUCCAAGCGUUGUCCGGAUUUAUUGGGCGUAAAGAGCUCGUAGGCGGUUCAGUAAGUCGGGUGUGAAAACUCUGGGCUCAACCCAGAGCCUGCAUUCGAAACUGCUGUGACUAGAGUUUGGUAGGGGAGCGGGGAAUUCCUAGUGUAGCGGUGAAAUGCGCAGAUAUUAGGAGGAACACCGGUGGCGAAAGCGCCGCUCUGGGCCAAUACUGACGCUGAGGAGCGAAAGCGUGGGUAGCAAACAGGAUUAGAUACCCUGGUAGUCCACGCCGUAAACGAUGGGCACUAGGUGUGGGUUUCAACUAACGAAAUCCGUGCCGUCGCUAACGCAUUAAGUGCCCGCCUGGGGAGGUACGGUCGCGAGACGUAAACUACAAGAAGUAGACGGCGUGAGACGUUGCCGAACGGACGACGACGAGGGAGAGG
rnacentral:rRNA from 1 species